AAUACUGAGCUGGCAGGCCUAACACAUGCAGUCGAGGGGUAUAAUUUAGCUUGCUAGAUAAGAGACCGGCGCACGGGUGCGUAACGCGUAUGCAAUCUGCCUUGUACAAAGGGAUAGCCCAGAGAAAUUUGGAUUAAUACCUUAUAGUAUGUAAGAGUGGCAUCACUUUUAUAUUAAAGAUUUAUCGGUACAAGAUGAGCAUGCGUCCCAUUAGCUAGUUGGUAUGGUAACGGCAUACCAAGGCAACGAUGGGUAGGGGUCCUGAGAGGGAGAUCCCCCACACUGGUACUGAGACACGGACCAGACUCCUACGGGAGGCAGCAGUGAGGAAUAUUGGUCAAUGGAGGCAACUCUGAACCAGCCAUGCCGCGUGCAGGAUGACGGUCCUAUGGAUUGUGAACUGCUUUUAUACAGGAAGAAACCCUAUCACGUGUGGUAGAUUGACGGUACUGUAAGAAUAAGGAUCGGCUAACUCCGUGCCAGCAGCCGCGGUAAUACGGAGGAUCCAAGCGUUAUCCGGAAUCAUUGGGUUUAAAGGGUCCGUAGGUGGUUUUAUAAGUCAGUGGUGAAAUCCGGCAGCUCAACUGUCGAACUGCCAUUGAUACUGUAGAACUUGAAUUAUUAUGAAGUAACUAGAAUAUGUAGUGUAGCGGUGAAAUGCUUAGAGAUUACAUGGAAUACCAAUUGCGAAGGCAGGUUACUAAUAAUAUAUUGACGCUGAUGGACGAAAGCGUGGGUAGCGAACAGGAUUAGAUACCCUGGUAGUCCACGCCGUAAACGAUGGAUACUAGCUGUUCGGAAGCAAUUCUGAGUGGCUAAGCGAAAGUGAUAAGUAUCCCACCUGGGGAGUACGAACGCAAGUUUGAAACUCAAAUGAAUUGACGG
rnacentral:rRNA from 1 species